rfam:Trichobilharzia regenti genome assembly, scaffold: TRE_scaffold0023698
GUACUGAUGAAGAGUCCCAAACCAGGACGAAACAGCUAUCCAGUAC